GCGGGUGUAGCUCAGUUGGUAGAGCGUCAGCCUUCCAAGCUGAACGUCGCCGGUUCGAAUCCGGUCGCCCGCU
rnacentral:tRNA from 2 species